GACGUAGGGCGCAAGCGUUGUCCGGAUUUAUUGGGCGUAAAGAGCGUGUAGGCGGCCAGGUAGGUCUGGUGUGAAAACUCGAGGCUUAACCUCGAGAUGUCAUCGGAAACCAUCUGGCUAGAGUCCGGAAGAGGAGAGUGGAAUUCCUGGUGUAGCGGUGAAAUGCGCAGAUAUCAGGAAGAACACCAAUGGCGAAAGCAGCUCUCUGGGACGGUACUGACGCUGAGACGCAAAAGCGUGGGGAGCGAACAGG
rnacentral:rRNA from 1 species